UGUUUAGCAAAUAAAGAAUGAAGUAGUGUUCAUAGGUAUUUCCAGAGAGCAUCUUUCUUUAAUUAAAGUGAUUGCAAUGAUCACGACAUUUUCAGGCAGCAUACGUACACUUCUACAGCAAUUAAAACAAUUUGCUUAUGAGGUGUAAGGGCUUGUCUCCUGAAACUGCAAGGGCCAACCUUCCCCUCCUGCCUGGCCAGCAAAGACUUUUUGGGUGCUGUAUUGGACAGAGUCUCUACACCAAGUUCAAGAUGAUUGGACAAAUUAUCCCAAAAAAGGGGGAGGGGAUCUAUUUCCUUCAUUCAAGCAUUCAUCUAUAUCAGAAUGAACCUGUAAAUGUUUGUAAUGAGGACAUACACCACUGUCUUCCUGGAAAUAAGCAGUUAACAGACUUCAGAGGAAAUGAUAAAGCAUUAACAGACUUUGGAAGGGAGGCUUUACUUUGAAGAAAUCACCCAUCCACCUUUUGCUUUUUUAGGGAAGACAGAAACUGUCAAUCAUAGGAUCCAGAAGGGAACUGUAAGAUUGAGUACAAUGUCAGAGAAAAGGGAUGGGUGCUGUGAUGAUUUUGUGCAAUAAUUUUAACUGCAUUAUUACAAGGCUUUUUGUAUUAAUUUGUGAUUUGACUUAUCUGGUUAUUCAAAAUGGGCUGGACUGGUAAUAAAUUAAUAGCUUCUUAUGUGUGAUAUAUUCUA
rnacentral:lncRNA from 1 species